UCAGGUGUGCCAGCCGCCGCGGUAAUACGGAGGAUGCGAGCGUUAUCCGGAUUUAUGGGUUUAAAGGGUGCGUAGGCGGUCCGUUAAGUCAGCGGUAAAAUUGCGGGGCUCAACCCCGUCGAGCCGUUGAAACUGUCAGACUUGAGUUGGCGAGAAGUACGCGGAAUGCGCGGUGUAGCGGUGAAAUGCAUAGAUAUCGCGCAGAACUCCGAUUGCGAAGGCAGCGUACCGGCGCCACACUGACGCUGAGGCACGAAAGCGUGGGGAUCGAACAGG
rnacentral:rRNA from 1 species